ACGAACGCUGGCGGCGUGCCUAAUACAUGCAAGUCGAACGGUCUUUCUAUGGAAGCUUGCUUCCACUGAGAAGAUAGUGGCGAACGGGUGAGUAACACGUGGGUAACCUGCCCAUAAGAGGGGGAUAACAUCCGGAAACGGGUGCUAAUACCGCAUAGUUUUCUUGAUCACAUGAUUGAGAAAGGAAAGACGGCCUUUGUGCUGUCGCUUAUGGAUGGACCCGCGGCGUAUUAGUUAGUUGGUGAGGUAACGGCUCACCAAGACGAUGAUACGUAGCCGACCUGAGAGGGUGAUCGGCCACAUUGGGACUGAGACACGGCCCAAACUCCUACGGGAGGCAGCAGUAGGGAAUCUUCCGCAAUGGACGAAAGUCUGACGGAGCAACGCCGCGUGAGUGAAGAAGGUUUUCGGAAUCGUAAAACUCUGUUGUCAGAGAAGAACAAGUUGGAGAGUAACUGCUCCAGCCUUGACGGUAUCUGACCAGAAAGCCACGGCUAACUACGUGCCAGCAGCUGC
rnacentral:rRNA from 1 species